rnacentral:rRNA from 1 species
UACGAAGGGGGCGAGCGUUGUUCGGAUUUACUGGGCGUAAAGGGCGCGCAGGCGGUCAUUUUUGUCGAGUGUGAAAGCCCCCGGGCUUAACCUGGGAACUGCGCUCGAAACGGGAUGACUAGAGAUCGGGAGAGGAGAGUGGAAUUCCCAGUGUAGAGGUGAAAUUCGUAGAUAUUGGGAAGAACACCGGUGGCGAAGGCGGCUCUCUGGACCGAUACUGACGCUGAGGCGGCGAAAGCCGUGGGGAGCAAACAGG